GGCCUCGUGCGCCGCGCUUUGAGGACUUCCUAAAGCCAGUCCAGGAGCACAGUUUUUACCUGUUCAGUGGCACAUAUCUGUGAUUGAAACUCUGUUUUUGCAUCUUUAACCACUGAAGGAAGAAUGCAGCAGACUGCUCGACAAACACUGCGCCAAGAGCUCCUCAGCAGAAGCUCCUCGCAUCAGAUCCUCUGUGCUGGGAAUCCUCCCCUCUUGAGCACACUCUGUGCUCCUCUUCCAGUUACGGUGCAUGUGAAGCAAUGGUAUGGGAAAAUUGUUUGCAGAAGGAUGAAAAGGCUUUAUUGCCAAACGUCCCUCUCUCAGCUGUAGCUCCUUCUGCGUCUGCAACCUGGCUUGUUCCCACGACAAAGGAACAUCAUAUUUUUUCAAAUCGUUUUUAAAAAAAUACACACAUAUCUGACCAUCUUCACUCAGCGCCUCUGAUGUAACAGGAAGCCGGGGGGGCGUCCAGUCUCUCAGCUUGUGGUUGAUACACAAGGCGAUAAGAUCAUCCCAUGGGAUCUCCAUGACCGAGGGGCCUGCCCCAUGGACUGGGGAGGGACUCUUGCUCUUCCACCUACAGUAGGUUCUGUGGAGCAGGUUCUCCACCUGGGACUGGAGGACAGGCUGUGUCUGGCGUGAGCUGGGGAUCUGGGAGGCGUACUGGACAACCAUGGAGCACACGGGGAGCCAGGGGGCCCCCAGGGGUGGAAGGUCCAUCUGCGGAAGCUGGAACCCGAGCACAGCCUGCUUCAGCCAGGCCAGGUGCUCUGGGGCAUUCCAGUGCAGGUGAGGAAGCAGCCGGCUGCCCCCUGCCUCAGCAAACUCAGUGACAGGCCAGGACAGGUCACACAGCUGUUCAGAGGACACCACAGAAGCCAGGAACUGCAGCACACUGUUAAACAGCUCAAUGAUGGCGCCAGGCUCCUGAGAAGCAAGACCGCCCAGACGCCUCUCUCUUCUGUCAUGGAAAAAGCGGCCACUAAACUCAUGGCCAAUCCCGUCUUCGACGUACUGAAUGAGAGUCUGGCAGCAGAGGUCAAGGGAAUGGGGGCAGUGGGAAACCAGCCACUGCACUGCUUGCAAAACCUUAGUUGAACCUUGUAGAUCAUUAAUGGUAUCAGGGAUCUCGGUAACAGUGUAAUCUGAAAUCAGCUUAGCUGAAACCAAGUCCUGUAGCAUCAGACCAUCUUCUACUUCCUUCUCAACGGCGUCCCCUCCUGGGCUAGGCACAAGAACCACCAGAGGAAGCGCAGGCUGGAAGGGCUUAGCCUGCAGGAGCUGCUUGAGCUGCAGCAAGGCCGACAGCCAGUACACGUCCUCCUCUGCCAUGUCCUCACUCUUCAUUUUGGGGGGAAGCAGCAGCAUGAGCCCACUGGCUCCCAGGAGGUCCUUCUGUGUCUCCACAGCAUCAAUGGCACCAUCACUGAGGGCGCCAUGGGCCACCUUUAUACACACGUUAACAGAAAUCAUCUGAUCCCCUUUGCUGCUAAGUGAGUUGAAAAGCGAAAGCGUCUGAAUCCCACCAGCAUCGCUGGAUGUGUCAUCCACUGAGCCUUCAUCUCCCAUGAACUUGACUUUUAACCAAUUUGCUAGAAUUCUACAGAU
rnacentral:lncRNA from 1 species